rnacentral:rRNA from 1 species
UACGUAGGGUGCAAGCGUUAAUCGGAAUUACUGGGCGUAAAGCGUGCGCAGGCGGUGAUGUAAGACAGGUGUGAAAUCCCCGGGCUCAACCUGGGAACUGCGCUUGUGACUGGAAGGCUAGAGUACGGCAGAGGGGGGUGGAAUUCCACGUGUAGCAGUGAAAUGCGUAGAGAUGUGGAGGAACACCAAUGGCGAAGGCAGCCCCCUGGGUCGAUACUGACGCUCAUGCACGAAAGCGUGGGUAGCAAACAGG